rnacentral:misc_RNA from 1 species
GUAGGUGAACCUGCGGAAGGAUCAUUACUGAGAUAGGGUCCUUCGGGGCCCGACCUCCAACCCUUUGUCUACCUUACCACUGUUGCCUCGGCGGGUCGCCGGCCCCCUUAGGGGGUGUCGCCUUCGGCCUCUGCGCUCUAGAGUGCCCGCCAGUAGGCCUAUCUAAACCCUUUUGAAACUAGCAAUCUGAGAGUAUAUUAAUACUUCAAAACUUUCAACAACGGAUCUCUUGGUUCUG